rnacentral:rRNA from 2 species
UACGUAGGUGGCAAGCGUUGUCCGGAUUUACUGGGCGUAAAGAGCGCGCAGGCGGUCGAAUCAGUCGAAUGUGAAAGCCCCCGGCUCAACUGGGGAGGGUCAUUCGAUACUGUCCGACUCGAAGGCAGGAGAGGGAAGCGGAAUUCCCGGUGUAGUGGUGAAAUGCGUAGAUAUCGGGAGGAACACCAGUGGCGAAGGCGGCUUUCUGGCCUGUUCUUGACGCUGAGGCGCGAAAGCUAGGGGAGCGAACGGG